UAAGCAUAUCAAUAAGCGGAGGAAAAGAAACCAACAGGGAUUGCCCUAGUAACGGCGAGUGAAGCGGCAAAAGCUCAGAUUUGAAAUCUGGUGUCAUUUUGGCAUCCGAGUUGUAGUCUGUAGAGGUGUAUUCGAGUGUGGCUUUGGCUUAAGUUCCUUGGAACAGGACGUCAUAGAGGGUGAGAACCCCGUUAACGGCCUUUGUCUUAUGCUCAUGUGAAUCUCCUUCAACGAGUCGAGUUGUUUGGGAAUGCAGCUCUAAAUGGGUGGUAAAUUCCAUCUAAAGCUAAAUACUGGCAAGAGACCGAUAGCGCACAAGUAGAGUGAUCGAAAGAUGAAAAGAACUCUGAACAGAGAGUUAAAUAGUACGUGAAAUUGUUGAAAGGGAAGCACUUGUGACCAGACGCACUUGCAGCUGAUCAAUUCUCAUUUUUGGGGAUGCACUCGGUUGUCUGUGGGUCAGCAUCAGUUAUAGCGGUAGGAAAAAGACUUGAGGAAUGUAGCUCCUUUCGGGGAGUGUUAUAGCCUUGAGUGCAAUACUGCCUGCUGUAACUGAGGACCGCGCUUAGGUGAGGAUGCUGGCAUAAUGGUCGUAAGUGACCCGUCUUGAAACACGGACCAAGGAGUCUAACAUCUAUGCGAGUGUUUGGGUGUACAAACCCUUACGCGUAAUGAAAGUAAAUGGAGGUGGGAACCGCAAGGUGCACCAUCGACCGAUCCUGAUGUUUUCGGAUGGAUUUGAGUAGGAGCAUAGCUGUUGGGACCCGAAAGAUGGUGAACUAUGCCUGAAUAGGGUGAAGCCAGAGGAAACUCUGGUGGAGGCUCGCAGCGGUUCUGACGUGCAAAUCGAUCGUCAAAUUUGGGUAUAGGGGCGAAAGACUAAUCGAACCAUCUAGUAGCUGGUUCCGGCCGAAGUUUCCCUCAGGAUA
rnacentral:rRNA from 1 species